GCCUGCCUAGCUCAAUCGGAUAGAGCGUCAGACUUUUAAGGCAGGUCUAACCACUUGAAAACCAUCUGAAGGCUGCGGGUUCGACCCCCGCGGUGGGCU
rnacentral:tRNA from 1 species